UCCGUAGGCGGUCAGAUAAGUCAGUGGUGAAAGCCCAUCGCUCAACGGUGGAACGGCCAUUGAUACUGUUAGACUUGAAUUAUUAGGAAGUAACUAGAAUAUGUAGUGUAGCGGUGAAAUGCUUAGAGAUUACAUGGAAUACCAAUUGCGAAGGCAGGUUACUACUAAUGGAUUGACGCUGAUGGACGAAAGCGUGGGUAGCGAACA
rnacentral:rRNA from 1 species